GAGGAGGGAAUAAACCUCACAAGUUAUCACAACUAUAAACUCCUGUUUACCAUGGAAACCAUGGUUACCAUACAUGAGUGUUUGACAACACUUUGUAUUGUCAAACAAACAGAGAGUUGGUUCAUAGCUGAUUUGGAUUUGAGGGGGAAAAGGGCAGCGAGCUAAAAAUCACCUAGGUAACAACCGAACUAGACCAAUUUAGCCAAUGUGCUCGAGUUUCGUCAGACACGAGGAAACAGCGCCCCCUGUGUAGUAACGGCUGGCUAACCACCUCCGGUCUGUGUGGUCGAAAAAGGAAGUUGGGCCUCCGCGUGGAAAAUGAAGCCUGUCGCGCUCCGACCACUUCACAAACAGACAACAGCGACGGAGAGAGGAGAGGAGGACUUCUGCCAACAAACAAUUACUGACCAGGCAGCAGGUGUGGCUGAACGUUACAAAUGACGGACACUUCAUCUCCAUGGGAGAAAGGAGAGAAGACUUCGACGACAAAUCCUUGUUGGUAGAGUGACUAGCAGCGAUGGAGAGAGGAGAGGAGGACUUCUGCCAACAAACAAUUACUGACCAGGCAGCAGGUGUGGCUGGACGUUACAAAUGACGGACACUUCAUCUCCAUGGGAGAAAGGAGAGAAGACUUCGACGACAAAUGGCACCUCGCUUUGGAGGUUUUCCUGGCACGUUCAACCGGGAGGAGGAGGAGGAGG